rnacentral:rRNA from 1 species
UACGGAGGGUGCAAGCGUUAUCCGGAUUCACUGGGUUAAAGGGUGCGUAGGAGGGCAGGUAAGUCAGUGGUGAAAUCUCCAAGCUUAACUUGGAACUGCCGUUGAUACUAUCUGUCUUGAAUACCGUGGAGGUGAGCGGAAUAUGUCAUGUAGCGGUGAAAUGCUUAGAUAUGACAUAGAACACCAAUUGCGAAGGCAGCUCGCUACACGAAUAUUGACUCUGAGGCACGAAAGCGUGGGGAUCAAACAGGAUUAGAUCC